CUCGUAGGUGGCCAACUAAGUCAGACGUGAAAUCCCCACGGCUUAACCUGGGAACUGCGUCUGAUACUGGAUGGCUUGAAUUCGGGAGAGGGAUGCAGAAUUCCAGGUGUAGCGGUGAAAUGCGUAGAUAUCUGGAGGAAUACCGGUGGCGAAGGCGGCAUCCUGGACCGAGAUUGACACUGAUGAGCGAAAGCCAGGGGAGCAAACG
rnacentral:rRNA from 1 species